CAGUUCUGCACAUUUUAUUGAAGUUUUUCCACUGCAGCCAGCUCAACGAUUCAGUCAAGGCUGCCAGCUCAUCAUCUUCAGUCAACAUUAUCCAACACUUUUUACUAUGUAGUGGGUCCAGUUGGGUCAUCCCAUAAACACGCAAAGGUUUUUAUGGGUCAUGUUGGGUUUGGAUGUAAAAGGAAACUGGUGGACGGGUUAUAAGAAAAAAGAGGCGGGUUAAAGGCCUUCUAGGGUUUUUGUCUGUUGACUUAUUUCUUCAGAGGUUUUCUACUUUUCUUCAAACCACAAAAUCAGCAGUAUUCAGCAUAACUCAUCUAAAAAUCAUCUUCAAUCGUGAUUCGGAGUAUUACCAAAUGGCACCUUAACAGCAGUGAAACAUCUUAAUCGAGUCGGGGAUGUCACUGGAAGCAAACUCUCUAUUUCUACGGAGUAUUACCAAAUGGCACCUUAAUCGAGACGGGGGCCUUACUGGAACCAGUUUCUCUAUUUUUACAGGAUAGAGAUAAUAACCAGGAGAAUCACCAGGAAGCUUUAGUUUUACCUAAGUCA